GAAGGUGGCAAGCGUUGUUCGGAUUCACUGGGCGUACAGGGAGCGUAGGCGGUUGGGUAAGCCCUCCGUGAAAUCUCCGGGCCUAACCCGGAAAGUGCAGAGGGGACUGCUCGGCUAGAGGAUGGGAGAGGAGCGCGGAAUUCCCGGUGUAGCGGUGAAAUGCGUAGAGAUCGGGAGGAAGGCCGGUGGCGAAGGCGGCGCUCUGGAACAUUUCUGACGCUGAGGCUCGAAAGCGUGGGGAGCAAACAGGAUUAGAUACCCUGGUAGUCCACGCCUUAAACUAUGGAUACUAAGUGUCGGCGGUUUACCGCCGGUGCCGCAGCUAACGCAGUAAGUAUCCCGCCUGGGAAGUACGGCCGCAAGGUUG
rnacentral:rRNA from 1 species